UACGAAGGGGGCUAGCGUUGCUCGGAAUCACUGGGCGUAAAGCGCGCGUAGGCGGCUUUGUAAGUUAGAGGUGAAAGCCCGGGGCUCAACCCCGGAACUGCCUUUAAGACUGCAUCGCUUGAAUCCGGGAGAGGUGAGUGGAAUUCCGAGUGUAGAGGUGAAAUUCGUAGAUAUUCGGAAGAACACCAGUGGCGAAGGCGGCUCACUGGACCGGUAUUGACGCUGAUGUGCGAAAGCGUGGGGAGCAAACAGG
rnacentral:rRNA from 1 species